UUGGAGAAGGGAAGUCGGUACACCAGGAAGGACCGCUCACCUGCAAACUCAGGGUUGGCGGCGGGACUCCAGGACCCUGGGUCCAGCCUGGAGGUGGUGGACCCGCCGCAGCUGGGCAUGUUCACAGAGGGUGAGCUGAUGUCGGUUGGCAUGGACACGUUCAUCCACCGCAUCGACUCCACCGAGGUCAUCUACCAGCCGCGCUGCAAGCGGGCCAAGCUCAUUGGCAAGUACCUGAUGGGGGACCUGCUUGGGGAAGGCUCCUACGGCAAAGUGAAGGAGGUGCUGGACUCGGAGACCCUGUGUUGGAGGGCCGUCAAGAUUCUCAAGAAGAAGUUGUGAAGGAUCCCCAACGGCGAGGCCAACGUGAAGAAGGAAAUUCAGUUGCUGAGGAGGUUACGGCACAAAAACGUCAUCCAGCUGGUGGAUGUGUUAUACAACGAAGAGAAGCAGAAAAUGUACAUGGUAAUGGAGUACUGUGUGUGCGACAUUCAGGAGAUGCUGGACAGCGUGCCCUAGAAGCGCUUCCCACUGUGCCAGGCCCAUGGGUACUUCUGCCAGCUGAUCGACGGCCUGGAGUACCUGCACAGCCAGGGCAUCGUGCACAAAGACAUCAAGCCGGGGAAUCUACUGCUGACCACCUGCGGCACCCUCAAGAUCUCCGACCUGGGCGUGGCUGAGGCACUGCACCCGUUUGCGGCAGACGACACCUGUCGGACCAGCCAGGGCUCCCCGGCGUUCCAGCCCGCCCCUCCCCCCCCCCCCCCCCCGAGAUUGCCAACGACCUGGACACCUUCUCCGGCUUCAAGGUGGACAUCUGGUCGGCUGGGGUCACACUCUACAACAUCACCACCCCUUCGAAGGGGACAACAUCUAUAAGCUGUUUGAGAACAUCAGGAAGGGGAACUACGUGAUCCCAGGUAACUGUGGCCCCCGGCUCUCCGACCUGCUGAAAGGGAUGCUUGAUUAUGAGCCGGCCAAGCACAGCUGGUUCCGGAAAAAACACCCACCAGCUGAGGCGCCGGUGCCCAUCCCACCGAGUCUGGACACCAAGGACCAGUGGCGCAGCAUGACCGUGGUGCCAUACCUGGAAGGCUUGCACGGUGCCGACGAGGACGAGGACCUCUUUGAUAUUGAGGAUGACAUCAUCUACACUCAGGACUUCACGGUGCCCGGACAGGUCCCAGAAGAGGAGGCCAGUCAGAACGGACAGAGCUGGGGCCUGCCCGAAGCCGUGUGCAUGAACAGCACGGAGACGGCGCAGCUGAGCACCAAAUCCAAGGCGGAGGGCCGGGCCUCCAACCCCGCCCGCAAGGCCUGCUCGGCCAGCAGCAAGAUCCGCCGGCUGUCGGCCUGCCAGCAGCAAUGAGGGUGUACGCCAGGCCCUCCGUCUUCCUGCCAGUCCCGCCCUCCUGGAGAGGUGGCCGCCUGCCUCUGUGCUGACCGCGCCCCAGGACCUCAGGAGCCCCUGCAGGGCCGGGCCGAAGGACCGCAGGGACCCGGCGCAGCUGUGUCCGCCGCCCGGCAGGGCCCGCAGCUGUUUGACUUGGUGGCCCCGGGCCGGUGAGGGAGGCGGGAGGCGGCCCGAUGCACUUUACGUGGAGACUGCUGGCCCCGCCGUGGCCUGAGCUGCGCAGACCCGCGCCACGGAGACCAGCCUGUCCCACCAUGCAGCGCCGCCCGGGAGCCGCGGAGGCCGCCUCAGUUUUGUUUGGUGGUUUCUAUGAGGACAGAGAAGAAUCAAGAAUGACUCCUAGGUUUGAACUUAAAUAUCUGGAUGAAUGAUAAGUCACUUACUGAAAU